GUGCCAGCCGCCGCGGUAAAACGUAGGAGGCGAGCGUUAUCCGGAUUCACUGGGCGUAAAGCGCGUGCAGGCGGUUUGGUAAGUUGGGCGUGAAAGCUCCCGGCUCAACUGGGAGAGGUCGUCCAAAACUACCAGACUAGAGAGCGAUAGAGGAAAAUGGAAUUCCCGGUGUAGUGGUGAAAUGCGUAGAUAUCGGGAGGAACACCAGUGGCGAAGGCGAUUUUCUGGAUCGUUUCUGACGCUCAGACGCGAAAGCUAGGGUAGCAAACGGGAUUAGAUACCCUCGUAGUCC
rnacentral:rRNA from 1 species